GGGAGGGAAGGGGUAGGCUUGGAGAGUGCUUGUUGAGGGGGUGCUGUAGCUGAGAGCAUGUGCAGGGCUGUUUGGCUGAUUUUUGAGGCUGGGCAGAACAUGAAUCACAAGAAAUAUUUUGAAGAAAAUAUGCCCUUUUCAACAAGACCUUUCAGUACUGAGGAUGUUCCCAUCUGUUCCUGAGUCAGACAAAUGCACAGCUCUUCCUUCAGUGAAGCUUUACAAGAGAACUCUCCAAGCCCUGACACCACCAAAAAAUAUGUGCUUUUCCUACUGGCAAUUUGUACUGAUGAUGAGAGACUUGGCAGCUUGGGAAAUCAAGAACUGAAACUCCAGCUUGCAUAUGAGGUGAUUUUCAACAUGGUUUUAAAAGUGACUGAAAGCAGCCCUUGGUUUUUUUUAGGAAAGGAAUGGAGGCAUCCCAAGCAGUGGGUGAUAGCUGGAGGGUUAAAAAAAAAAAAAAAGGAAGAAAAAGUUUAGGGUCCAAAAUCAGUCUGGAGAGAGAUCUAUGGUGGGCAGGGAGCCUGUUGAACUGCCUGCUCACAGAGGUCACACUACAGCAGAGAGAGAGCAGGCUGAGGAGAUGAAUAAUGACUGUUGGGAGCCAAACAUGAUCUCUCUGGGCUUCAGCAGGAAAGCUGAACAGUGAGGAGCACUGACAAGCUGAAUCCCAGAGCCUGAGGAGGUAGGGAAUGAUGAUGUCCAGACCAAGGAAGGAAAUGGAGCAUAAUGUGAAGCCCAUGGUAAUACCUGAGAUACAAGUAAGUUUCCUUUUUAAAAACACAGAUACAGCAAAUGAUGAAAACACUAAUCCCAAUGAUGGCUUCUGCAGUGAGUAUUUUGUAUAUAAGGAGAGAGGGGAAAAAAAAAAACAACACAAUUUUCUGUGUUUUGAGACAGAUCUCCAAGUUAGUAAAUGGGGAAUAAUCACAGCAUGCAGUGCCUUAUGAGUAGGUUAUAUUCAAAACUGUGUUUUGUGUAGGAGAACCAUGACUGAGGGCUCCAAUUAGUAGAGCCUCCUCAGAGAAAAAUGUUAAUAGAAAUAUUUUGAUCAAUAAAGUCUAUAUUCAUUUUGU